AAGGAACUGAGAAUAAAAGUAGCUGCUAACUAACUUUUAAAGUGGUUAAAUUCCACUUUUUCCUUA
rnacentral:tRNA from 1 species